rnacentral:rRNA from 1 species
AUAGGAAUCUACCUAGUAGUACGGAAUAAUUGUUGGAAACGGCAACUAAUACCGUAUACGCCCUACGGGGGAAAGGUUUAUUGCUAUUAGAUGAGCCUAUAUUAGAUUAGCUAGUUGGUAAGGUAAUGGCUUACCAAGGCAAUGAUCUAUAGCUGAUCUGAGAGGAUGGUCAGCCACACUGGAACUGAGAUACGGUCCAGACUCCUACGGGAGGCAGCAGUGGGGAAUAUUGGACAAUGGGCGAAAGCCUGAUCCAGCCAUGCCGUAUGAGUGAAGAAGGCCUUUGGGUUGUAAAGCUCUUUUGGUGAGGAAGAUAAUGACGGUACUCACAGAAGAAGUCCUGGCUAACUCCGUGCCAGCAGCCGCGGUAAUACGGAGAGGGCUAGCGUUAUUCGGAAUUAUUGGGCGUAAAGAGCGCGUAGGCUGGUUAGUAAGUUAAAAGUGAAAUCCCAAAGCUCAACUUUGGAAUUGCUUUUAAAACUGCUAACCUAGAGAUUGAAAGAGGAUAGAGGAAUUCCUAGUGUAGAGGUGAAAUUCGUAAAUAUUAGGAGGAACACCAGUGGCGAAGGCGUCUAUCUGGUUCAAAUCUGACGCUGAGGUGCGAAGGCGUGGGGAGCAAACAGGAUUAGAUACCCUGGUAGUCCACGCUGUAAACGAUGAAUGUUAAAUAUGGGAAGUUUACUUUCUGUAUUACAGCUAACGCGUUAAACAUUCCGCCUGGGGACUACGGUCGCAAGAUUAAAACUCAAAGGAAUUGACGGGGACCCGCACAAGCGGUGGAGCAUGUGGUUUAAUUCGAUGCAACGCGAAAAACCUUACCACUCCUUGACUGAA